GGUGAACGCUAGCGGCAGGCUUAAUACAUGCAAGUCGUGGGGCAGCAUGAGUAGCAAUACUUGAUGGCGACCGGCAAACGGGUGAGGAACACGUACACAACCUUCCUUCAAGCGGGGAAUAGCCCAGAGAAAUUUGGAUUAACACCCCAUAAUAUAUUUGAUAAGGCAUCUUAUUAAUAUUAAAGCUUCGGCACUUGAUGAUGGGUGUGCGGCUGAUUAGAUAGUUGGCGGGGUAACGGCCCACCAAGUCUACGAUCAGUAGCUGAUGUGAGAGCAUGAUCAGCCACACGGGCACUGAGACACGGGCCCGACUCCUACGGGAGGCAGCAGUAAGGAAUAUUGGACAAUGGACGAAAGUCUGAUCCAGCCAUGCCGCGUGAAGGAUUAAGGUCCUCUGGAUUGUAAACUUCUUUAUAUGGGACGAAAAGGCAUUCUUGUUCACUUGACGGUACCGAUAUGAAUAAGCACCGGCUAACGU
rnacentral:rRNA from 1 species